UGUCUUUUUGAAAAUAAUAUAAGGUCUAAUCUGCCCACUGAUUUAAUAUUGAAGGGCUGCAGUAUUUUGACUGUACAAAGGUAGCAUAGUCAGUAGUCAUUUAAUUGAUGACUUGUAUGAAUGAUUGGAUGAAAUAUAAUCUGUUUCUUAGUUAUAAUUAGAAUUUAAUUUUUUAUUUAAAAAGUUAAAAUUUUUUAAAAAGACGAGAAGACCCUAUAGAGUUUUAUAAAUAAAUUAAUUAAGGUUUUUUAUUAAUAUGAUUAAAAAUUAAAAUUAAUUUAUUUAUUUUGUUGGGGUGACAGAAAAAUAUAGGAAACUUUUUUUUUAUGAAACAUUUAUAAGUGGUUAAAUGAUCCAAUAUUAUUGAUUAUAAGAAAAAAUUACCUUAGGGAUAACAGCGUAAUUUUUUUUUUUAGUUCAUAUAAGAAAAAGAGUUUGCGACCUCGAUGUUGGAUUAAGAUAAAAUUUAAGUGUAGAAG
rnacentral:rRNA from 1 species